GACGAACGCUGGCGGCGUGCUUAACACAUGCAAGUCGAACGAUGAAGCUGGAGCCUGCUCCGGUGGAUUAGUGGCGAACGGGUGAGUAACACGUGAGCAAGCUGCCCUUCACUCUGGGAUAACUGCGGGAAACUGUAGCUAAUACCGGAUACGAGGCUUGGAGGCAUCUCCAGGUCUGGAAAGAAUUUCGGUGAAGGAUGAGCUCGCGGCCUAUCAGCUUGUUGGUGAGGUAAUGGCUCACCAAGGCGACGACGGGUAGCCGGCCUGAGAGGGUGACCGGCCACACUGGGACUGAGACACGGCCCAGACUCCUACGGGAGGCAGCAGUGGGGAAUAUUGCACAAUGGGCGAAAGCCUGAUGCAGCAACGCCGCGUGAGGGAUGAAGGCCUUCGGGUUGUAAACCUCUUUUAGCAGGGAAGAAGCGAAAGUGACGGUACCUGCAGAAAAAGCACCGGCUAACUACGUGCCAGCCGCCGCGGUAA
rnacentral:rRNA from 1 species